UGCGUAGGUGGCGCCGUAAGUCAGGUGUGAAAUUUCGGAGCUCAACUCCGAAACUGCAUUUGAUACUGCGGUGCUUGAGGACUGGAGAGGAGACUGGAAUUCACGGUGUAGCAGUGAAAUGCGUAGAUAUCGUGAGGAAGACCAGUGGCGAAGGCGGGUCUCUGGACAGUUCCUGACACUGAGGCACGAAGGCCAGGGGAGCAAACG
rnacentral:rRNA from 1 species